rnacentral:lncRNA from 1 species
GCGAUCACGCACUGAUGAGGAUAAAUAUACUCUGAUAGGAUUUUCAGUGAGAAAUAUCGUCUCUCUUUGCCUAUAAAGAAGGCGAAGCCGAAGACGGAAGUAGAGGGAGGAGAGCUCGCACAGGGACAAGAGAGAGAGGGCUGAAAAAAGGAGGAAGCUGUUGAGAAAAAAAAGCUUGGAGAUGGGAGUUCUCAGAGAGAAGCAGAUAAAAGAGAGAUCCCACGGAGAUGAUGAAGCUUAAGGCCGAGAAAAAGAACAAAAAAUUUGCAAAAAGGAAGAAGAGUUCACUUUUAGUGGAGUCCAGUGAAGAAAAAACGAAGAAGGUGGAUAUUAGAUCCUUCUAUUGUUUUCUCUUUCCUCUUUGUAAUUAUAAAAGAAAAUUAGACACAACAUUGAAUUUUUGGUAGUUACAGAAAGUAUUGAAUUUGUGUUGCAAUUACAGGAGGAAGGAAUAUCUGGGUGGUUGGAGUUGUCCAGUAUAAAAGAUGUCAUAUAUAUAAAUAUACACACACACACACACACACACACGUACACACAUAUAUGUACCCACCAUUUUAUCAAUUGAAAUUAGAAUGAGAGAAUUACAAAAUUACAGAAGA